rnacentral:rRNA from 1 species
GACGAACGCUGGCGGCGUGCCUAAUACAUGCAAGUCGAGCGGACAGAUGGGAGUCUUGCUCCCUGAAAGUCAGCGGCGGACGGGUGAGUAACACGUGGGCAACCUGCCUGUAAGACUGGGAUAACUCCGGGAAACCGGGCUAAUACCGGAUAACUCUUUUCCUCUCAUGAGGAAAAGCUGAAAGAUGGUUCCGGCUAUCACUUACAGAUGGGCCCCGGCGCAUUACGCUAGUUGGUGAGGUAACGGCUCACCAAGGCCACGAUGCGUAGCCGACCUGAGAGGGUGAUCGGCCACACUGGGACUGAGACACGGCCCAGACUCCUACGGGAGCAGCAGUAGGGAAUCUUCCGCAAUGGACAAAGUCUGACGAGCAACGCCGCGUGAGUGAUGAAGUUUUCGGAUCGUAAAACUCU